UUUUUUUUUUUUUCUCUUUUGGUAUUUCGAACUCUUCGCAAUAUAGUGUGAGAGAGUUCAUUCAGAGGCGCGGAAAUCAAGAAAUAAAUAACAUCGACACCUAAAUCAACAAAAAAAAGAAAUUUCGGUUUUUUU
rnacentral:ribozyme from 1 species